rnacentral:rRNA from 1 species
GAUGAACGCUGGCGGCGUGCCUAAUACAUGCAAGUCGAGCGAACGGACGAGAAGCUUGCUUCUCUGAUGUUAGCGGCGGACGGGUGAGUAACACGUGGAUAACCUACCUAUAAGACUGGGAUAACUUCGGGAAACCGGAGCUAAUACCGGAUAAUAUUUUGAACCGCAUGGUUCAAAAGUGAAAGACGGUCUUGCUGUCACUUAUAGAUGGAUCCGCGCUGCAUUAGCUAGUUGGUAAGGUAACGGCUUACCAAGGCAACGAUGCAUAGCCGACCUGAGAGGGUGAUCGGCCACACUGGAACUGAGACACGGUCCAGACUCCUACGGGAGGCAGCAGUAGGGAAUCUUCCGCAAUGGGCGAAAGCCUGACGGAGCAACGCCGCGUGAGUGAUGAAGGUCUUCUGAUCGUAAAACUCUGUUAUUAGGGAAGAACAUAUGUGUAAGUAACUGUGCACAUCUUGACGGUACCUAAUCAGAAAGCCACGGCUAACUACGU